GGGUUGGGGGGGGAAAGAGGGAUGCUGCGACCCCGCGGCCUAACGCAGAGCUGCCUGCUCCGCUGCCACCCAGCUCUCUUUUUUAUUUCUUCCCUUCCUUUUUCACGCUUUUUGAUUUUUGUUCCAAUUUUUUUCUUCACCUCUUUAGCCAGAGGGGUGCCUGGGAGCCCAUCGCCACCCCUCACCCCCUUUCCCUGCCCUUCACCUCCCAUCCCUUCUUCUCCCAUCCCUUCUUCUCCCAUCCCUUCUCUUCUCCCAUCCCUUCUCUUCUCCCAUCCCUUCUCCCUUCUCUUCUCCCAUCCCUUCUCUUCUCCCAUCCCUUCUCCCAUCCCUUCUCCCAUCCCUUCUCCCAUCCCUUCUCCCAUCCCUUCUCCCAUCCCUUCUCCCAUCCCUUCUCCCAUCCCUUCUCCCAUCCCAUCCUUUCUCCCAUCCCAUCCUUUCUCCCAUCCCAUCCUUUCUCCCAUCCCAUCCUUUCUCCCAUCCCUUCCUUCUCCCAUCCCUUCCUUCUCCCAUCCCUUCUCCCAUCCCUUUGCAGCUGGAGGCCAACCCGCCCUGCAUCCCUCCAUCCCCGACCCUCUGCCCCAGUGCUCCCAGCAGCCCCGCGCGCAGACCCUCACCUCCGGGACGGCACCCACAGGAAGAACAUCAACAGGAGUUUGGGGUCCCUGGGACGACUCUUUGCACCCUGACCCCCCCUGGGGUGCUGCAGGUAUUUGGGGGCAGCCCCCCACCCCCCCCUUUCCUUCCUGGGCUCAUAGCCCAGCGGGUGCGGAUGCCGCAAGGAGCCCGCCGUGCCGUGCCGUGCCGUGCCGUGCCGUGCCGCGCCAAUAAAGCUCUUUUCGCUGCGGGUCUCCCGCAUCCUCUCCUUUGUUUGCCGAGGUUUCUCUUCCAGCGGCGGAGGCAGGACCCGCACUCAGCACCAGGUGGGGGGGAUGAAUAUUAAAAUUUCCCCCCCAACCCAAAAUAAAUAAAAAAAAAAACCUAAAAAACCUCA
rnacentral:lncRNA from 1 species